rnacentral:rRNA from 1 species
AUUGAACGCUGGCGGCAGGCCUAACACAUGCAAGUCGAGCGGAUGAAGGGAGCUUGCUCCUGGAUUCAGCGGCGGACGGGUGAGUAAUGCCUAGGAAUCUGCCUGGUAGUGGGGGAUAACGUCCGGAAACGGGCGCUAAUACCGCAUACGUCCUGAGGGAGAAAGUGGGGGGUCUUCGGACCUCACGCUAUCAGAUGAGCCUAGGUCGGAUUAGCUAGUUGGUGGGGUAAAGGCCUACCAAGGCGACGAUCCGUAACUGGUCUGAGAGGAUGAUCAGUCACACUGGAACUGAGACACGCUCCAGACUCCUACGGGAGGCAGCAGUGGGGAAUAUUGGACAAUGGGCGAAAGCCUGAUCCAGCCAUGCCGCGUGUGUGAAGAAGGUCUUCCGAUUGUAAAGCACUUUAAGUUGGGAGGAAGGGCAGUAAGCUAAUACCUUGCUGUUUUGACGUUACCAACAGAAUAAGCACCGGCUAACUUCGUG